GAAGUUAAUUUGGAUCCCCAAUUUGAAUCAUCUUCUCCAAAAUUCACCGUCUAUCAAUGGCAUCCAAAGCAAGCAGCUCCUCCAUCUUCCAAAGCCUGAAACGAUACAUCAAGAAGCCAUGGGAGAUAACCGGACCUUGCGCCGACCCAGAGUACAAGAGCGCUUUGCCCAAAGCCACGGAGUACCGUGUUCGCUGCCCGGCCACCACUUUACAGAAGCCCAUCGUCCCCACAUCUGACCCCGAAACCGUCUUUGAUAUCAAAUAUUACACCCGCGACCAACGCCGCGACCGCCCCCCGAUCCCUCGCACCAUCUUGAAGAAAGCCGAUGUGGAGAAAAUGAUGAAAGAGAAGACCUUUGAUGUCAACGAUUUCCCUAAGGUUUAUUUGACUGCCAAAGUUGAAGAAGAUGAGAAUGCCAUUGGUGGAGGCUACCAGAAAUAGAUUUGGUAGUGGUUAAUUUCUGUUUUGAGACGAGGUGAUUGGUUUCUCAUUAUUGGUAUGUGUGGAAGCUACCAGAAAUAGGUCUCUGUGGAAAUUUUUAAUGUGCACCAGUUUUCUCAGGUUUCAUUCUCCUGCUGAGCUGUCGUGGAACAAAUGCUGGUCAUCUUAACAUAGCAGUGUCUUGAGACUCUUGAAAUUGAAGAGGAUGCAGUGUCCUACAUUAAUAAGGUUAUUUGCCUGGAUUUUUUUAUUCCAUUGUUCAGCAUAUUUGCAUGAAUGUAUAAAUCCAGAUGCAACUGCAAUUGGAUGAUGGAUAAUGUGAUUGACUAGAUCAAGAUAAGCAUCUGGUUUCUAUUAGCUAUUCUGCAAUAAGAAAA